CUGAUAUAAUGCUUUUAACCAUAGACAGCAGGGGCUCAAAAAGCUUAAUCAUCCUGCCGAGGUGCAAAAGUGAUUUAUCACUUCAAUUGUCGAUUUGCGCUUAUAGGUCUGUGGAAAACACAGAUUUUUUAUUUACUGG
rfam:Candidatus Magasanikbacteria bacterium RIFOXYC2_FTLL_42_28 rifoxyc2_full_scaffold_83, whole genome shotgun sequence.